UCCUUUCUCUGGAGAUUAAUAUUGCUGUG
rnacentral:piRNA from 1 species